GUUUAGAGAGGUUAAGAACUUGCCCAUGUCACAUAAAUGGUUUUGGUGAAAGCAUGGGCCCUUGGAGCUCCCAACUUCACCAUGUUUGCAGAAUUAUAAUGAAAAGGUAGAUGUCAUCCCUGCAUUUAGCCCCAGUUAGGCCACAUCUGCUCUAUCUUGGAAGCCCCACAUGCCGGCGGCUAGCUGGAGGUGAGCAAGCCUGUGGAGGGUCAGACACUGAUGGUAUGCAGCCUGGAAUCAAGGAGAUCUUAGCAGGACUCUGCAUCUGUGGACUGAUUCAGAACUGGGGAUUUGGUGAGGUGACUCUGAAGCAUGCUGGAUCAAGUCAAGCUUCUGC